rnacentral:rRNA from 1 species
AGAGUUUGAUCCUGGCUCAGAUUGAACGCUGGCGGCAUGCUUUACACAUGCAAGUCGAACGGUAACAGGCCGCAAGGUGCUGACGAGUGGCGAACGGGUGAGUAAUGCAUCGGAACGUGCCCAGUCGUGGGGGAUAACGCAGCGAAAGCUGCGCUAAUACCGCAUACGAUCUAUGGAUGAAAGCGGGGGACCGUAAGGCCUCGCGCGAUUGGAGCGGCCGAUGUCAGAUUAGGUAGUUGGUGGGGUAAAGGCUCACCAAGCCGACGAUCUGUAGCUGGUCUGAGAGGACGACCAGCCACACUGGGACUGGGACACGGCCCAGACUCCUACGGGAGGCAGCAGUGGGGAAUUUUGGACAAUGGGGGCAACCCUGAUCCAGCAAUGCCGCGUGCAGGAAGAAGGCCUUCGGGUUGUAAACUGCUUUUGUACGGAACGAAACGGCUCUGGUUAAUACCCGGGGCUAAUGACGGUACCGUAAGAAUAAGCACCGGCUAACUACGUGCCAGCAGCCGCGGUAAUACGUAGGGUGCAAGCGUUAAUCGGAAUUACUGGGCGUAAAGCGUGCGCAGGCGGUGCUGUAAGACAGGCGUGAAAUCCCCGGGCUUAACCUGGGAAUGGCGCUUGUGACUGCAGUGCUGGAGUGCGGCAGAGGGGGAUGGAAUUCCGCGUGUAGCAGUGAAAUGCGUAGAUAUGCGGAGGAACACCGAUGGCGAAGGCAAUCCCCUGGGCCUGCACUGACGCUCAUGCACGAAAGCGUGNGGAGCAAACAGGAUUAGAUACCCUGGUAGUCCACGCCCUAAACGAUGUCAACUGGUUGUUGGGUCUCUUCUGACNNNGUAACGAAGCUAACGCGUGAAGUUGACCGC